GCAGUGGUGGCUCAGUAACAGAAUUCUCGCUUUCACUGAGGGAGACCUGGGUUCGAUUCCCGGCCAAUGCA
rnacentral:tRNA from 1 species